CUCAUGACAAGAAAAAUCACCAGAGCUUGAAAAGAGCAAUGAAAAAAUGUCGAGAACUCCUAGAGCUCUACAGUGUUCAACAGCUCUACAGCUGUCCUUUCAACAUUGCCCAGGUCUUCGAAGUUUUUCUCAAUUCAAAUGAGCUCUGCCAGUUUGUAAUGACUACAUGGAUGGCCUGAAAAACCUGAAACAUCCCUGCACCCAGCAGUCAGCGGGGGAAUUGCUGAUAACGUUGGUGAAGAAUGCAGAGUCACAGUUUGAGAAGGCAUCUGGCUGAGUUGUGGAGAACUCUGGAGGUGGAGCUGCCCAGCGCAACCUGGAUUCUCUGGCGGCUUCUGAGGAAGCUGCAGAAAUGCCAUAACA